GCUUUACACAUGCAGUCGAGCGGAAGGCCCUUCGGGGUACUCGAGCGGCGAACGGGUGAGUAACACGUGAGUAACCUGCCCCAGACUUUGGGAUAACCCUCGGAAACGGGGGCUAAUACCGAAUAUGACAUGUCACCGCAUGGUGUGCUUGUGGAAAGUUUUUCGGUUUGGGAUGGACUCGCGGCCUAUCAGCUUGUUGGUGGGGUAAUGGCCUACCAAGGCGACGACGGGUAGCCGGCCUGAGAGGGCGACCGGCCACACUGGGACUGAGACACGGCCCAGACUCCUACGGGAGGCAGCAGUGGGGAAUAUUGCACAAUGGGCGGAAGCCUGAUGCAGCGACGCCGCGUGAGGGAUGACGGCCUUCGGGUUGUAAACCUCUUUCAGCAGGGACGAAGCGCAAGUGACGGUACCUGCAGAAGAAGCGCCGGCCAACUACGUGCCAGCAGCCGCGGUAAGACGUAGGGCGCGAGCGUUGUCCGGAUUUAUUGGGCGUAAAGAGCUCGUAGGCGGCUUGUCGCGUCGAAUGUGAAAUCUCGGGGCUCAACUCCGAGCUUGCAUUCGAUACGGGCAGGCUAGAGUUCGGUAGGGGAGACUGGAAUUCCUGGUGUAGCGGUGAAAUGCGCAGAUAUCAGGAGGAACACCGGUGGCGAAGGCGGGUCUCUGGGCCGAUACUGACGCUGAGGAGCGAAAGCGUGGGGAGCGAACAGGAUUAGAUACCCUGGUAGUCCACGCUGUAAACGUUGGGCGCUAGGUGUGGGGACCCUCUCCGGGUUUCUGCGCCGCAGCUAACGCAUUAAGCGCCCCG
rnacentral:rRNA from 1 species